GACGAACGCUGGCGGCGUGCUUAACACAUGCAAGUCGAGCGGAAGGGCGCGGCUCUUGUGGGGUGCACGAGUGGCGCACGGGUGAGUGAAACAUGAGUAACCUGCACUUGACUUUGGGAUAAAUUCAGGAAACUGGGGCUAAUACCGGGUAGGAGAUCCUGCUGCAUGGGGGGGGUUGGAAAGAUUCGGCGGUUGGGGAUGGACUCGAUGGUUAUCCGCUUGUUGGGGGGGUAGUGACUUACCAAGGCUAUGACGGGUAGGCGGCCUGAGAGGGUGACCGGCCACAUUGGGACUGAGGUACGGCCCAGACUCCUACGGGCGGCAGCAGUGGGGAAUAUUACAGAAUGGGCGGAAGCCUGAUGCAGCAACGCUGGGUGCGGGAUGACGGGCUUCGGGUUGUAAACCGCUUUCGCCGGUGACGAAGCGUGAGUGACGGUAAUGGGUAAAGAAGCACCGGCUAACUACGUG
rnacentral:rRNA from 1 species